rnacentral:rRNA from 1 species
CAUGGCUCAGGAUGAACGCUGGCGGCGUGCCUAAUACAUGCAAGUCGAGCGAAGUUUCUCUGGUGCUUGCACCGGAAAAACUUAGUGGCGAACGGGUGAGUAAUACGUAAAGAACCUGCCUCAUAGACUGGGACAACUAUUGGAAACGAUAGUUAAUACCGGAUAACAGCAUUAACUGCAUGGUUGAUGUUUAAAAGUUGGUUUUGCUAACACUAUGGGAUGGCUUUACGGUGCAUUAGCUAGUUGGUGGGGUAAAGGCCUACCAAGGCGACGAUGCGUAGCCGACCUGAGAGGGUGAUCGGCCACACUGGGACUGAGACACGGCCCAGACUCCUACGG